GAUGAACGCUGGCGGCGUGCCUAGUACAUGCAAGUCGAGCGAACAGACGAGGAGCUUGCUCCUCUGACGUUAGCGGCGGACAGGUGAGUAACACGUGGAUAACCUACCUAUAAGACUGGGAUAACUUCGGGAAACCGGAGCUAAUACCGGAUAAUAUAUUGAACCGCAUGGUUCAAUAGUGAAAGACGGUUUUGCUGUCACUUAUAGAUGGAUCCGCGCCGCAUUAGCUAGUUGGUAAGGUAACGGCUUACCAAGGCAACGAUGCGUAGCCGACCUGAGAGGGUGAUCGGCCACACUGGAACUGAGACACGGUCCAGACUCCUACGGGAGGCAGCAGUAGGGAAUCUUCCGCAAUGGGCGAAAGCCUGACGGAGCAACGCCGCGUGAGUGAUGAAGGUCUUCGGAUCGUAAAACUCUGUUAUUAGGGAAGAACAAAUGUGUAAGUAACUAUGCACGUCUUGACGGUACCUAAUCAGAAAGCCACGGCUAACUACGUG
rnacentral:rRNA from 1 species